GUCGAGCGAGGUAGCAAUACCUAGCGGCGGACGGGUGAGUAACGCGUGGGAACGUACCCUUUGCUUCGGAAUAGCCCCUGGAAACGGGGAGUAAUACCGGAUGAGCCCUACGGGGGAAAGAUUUAUCGGCAAAGGAUCGGCCCGCGUUGGAUUAGGUAGUUGGUGGGGUAAUGGCCUACCAAGCCGACGAUCCAUAGCUGGUUUGAGAGGAUGAUCAGCCACACUGGGACUGAGACACGGCCCAGACUCCUACGGGAGGCAGCAGUGGGGAAUCUUAGACAAUGGGCGCAAGCCUGAUCUAGCCAUGCCGCGUGAUCGAUGAAGGCCUUAGGGUUGUAAAGAUCUUUCGCGGGGGAAGAUAAUGACGGUACCCCAAGAAGAAGCCCCGGCUAACUCCGUGCCAGCAGCCGCGGUAAUACGGAGGGGGCUAGCGUUAUUCGGAAUUACUGGGCGUAAAGCGCACGUAGGCGGAUUGAAAAGUCAGAGGUGAAAUCCCGGAUCUCAACUUUGGAAGUGCCUUUGAAACUCUCAGUCUUGAGGUCGAGAGAGGUGAGUGGAAUUCC
rnacentral:rRNA from 1 species